UGAGGAAUAUUGGUCAAUGGGCGGGAGCCUGAACCAGCCAAGUCGCGUGAGGGAGGAAGGUCCUACGGAUUGUAAACCUCUUUAGCCGGGGAGCAACGUGCGCCACGUGUGGCGCAGUGAGAGUACCCGGAGAAUAAGCAUCGGCUAACUCCGUGCCAGCAGCCGCGGUAAUACGGAGGAUGCGAGCGCUAUCCGGAUUUAUUGGGUUUAAAGGGAGCGCAGGCGGUCUUAUAAGCGUGACGUGAAAUGCAGCGGCUCAACCGUAUGAUGUGCGUCGCGAACUGUGAGACUUGAGUGUAUUCGAUGUCAGCGGAAUUUGUGGUGUAGCGGUGAAAUGCUUAGAUAUCACGAAGAACUCCGAUUGCGAAGGCAGCUGACAAGGCUACAACUGACGCUAAAGCUCGAAAGUGCGGGUAUC
rnacentral:rRNA from 1 species